GUGCUGGCUUGGACGGCGCAUACACUAAAAUUGGAACAAUACAGAGAUUAGCACGCUCCCUGUACAAGGAUGACACGCAAAUUUGUGAAGGGCUCCAUAUUUAA
ensembl:snRNA U6 U6 spliceosomal RNA